AGAGUUUGAUCAUGGCUCAGGACGAACGCUGGCGGCGUGCUUAACACAUGCAAGUCGAACGAUGAACCACUUCGGUGGGGAUUAGUGGCGAACGGGUGAGUAACACGUGGGCAAUCUGCCCUUCACUCUGGGACAAGCCCUGGAAACGGGGUCUAAUACCGGAUAAUACUUCCACUCGCAUGGGUGGGGGUUGAAAGCUCCGGCGGUGAAGGAUGAGCCCGCGGCCUAUCAGCUUGUUGGUGAGGUAGUGGCUCACCAAGGCGACGACGGGUAGCCGGCCUGAGAGGGCGACCGGCCACACUGGGACUGAGACACGGCCCAGACUCCUACGGGGGGCAGCAGUGGGGAAUAUUGCACAAUGGGCGAAAGCCUGAUGCAGCGACGCCGCGUGAGGGAUGACGGCCUUCGGGUUGUAAACCUCUUUCAGCAGGGAAGAAGCGAAAGUGACGGUACCUGCAGAAGAAGCGCCGGCUAACUACGUGCCAGCAGCCGCGGUAAUACGUAGGGCGCAAGCGUUGUCCGGAAUUAUUGGGCGUAAAGAGCUCGUAGGCGGUCUGUCGCGUCGGAUGUGAAAGCCCGGGGCUUAACCCCGGGUCUGCAUUCGAUACGGGCAGACUAGAGUGUGGUAGGGGAGAUCGGAAUUCCUGGUGUAGCGGUGAAAUGCGCAGAUAUCAGGAGGAACACCGGUGGCGAAGGCGGAUCUCUGGGCCAUUACUGACGCUGAGGAGCGAAAGCGUGGGGAGCGAACAGGAUUAGAUACCCNNGUAGUCC
rnacentral:rRNA from 1 species